rnacentral:misc_RNA from 1 species
ACAAACUUGGUCAUUUAGAGGAAGUAAAAGUCGUAACAAGGUAACCGUAGGUGAACCUGCGGUUGGAUCAUUAAAAUAUUUUCUUAUUUUUCCCUGACCUUUUUUAACGAAAGGUUUUCAGAGGAAGAAUUAACCCCAUUUGUGAACUUUUUAUUGUAUUUUUGGGUGAGGUGGUUUUUUUUAACCGUUAAAUAAGAAAUCUUUUUUUCUUACCUUGCCCAACUUUAUAUAAGCUCUAGUAGAAUAAACUUGUCUUGAAAAAGAACUUUUUUAAAGUUAUUUAUAAUAAUUUAAAAAACAACUUUUGACAACGGAUCUCUAGGCUCUCGCAUCGAUGAAGAACGCAGC